rnacentral:rRNA from 1 species
GACGAAGGAUGCAAGCGUUAUCCGGAUUCAUUGGGUUUAAAGGGAGCGUAGGUGGCCUUAUAAGUCAGUGGUGAAAUCCUGUUGCUUAACAGCAGAAUCGCCAUUGAUACUGUAGGGCUUGAGUAUAGUUGCCGUUGGCGGAAUAUGACAUGUAGUGGUGAAAUACAUAGAGAUGUCAUAGAACACCGAUUGCGAAGGCAGCUAACGAAACUAUAACUGACACUGAGGCUCGAAAGUGCGGGGAUCAAACAGG